ACGCUCGACACCUACGGGAGGUAGCAGUGGGGAAUAUUGCACAAUGGGGGAAACCCUGAUGCAGCGACGCCGCGUGAGCGAAGAAGUAUUUCGGUAUGUAAAGCUCUAUCAGCAGGGAAGAAACUGACGGUACCUGACUAAGAAGCACCGGCUAAAUACGUGCCAGCAGCCGCGGUAAUCUGAGGCGGGCUGGCAAGGC
rnacentral:rRNA from 1 species